rnacentral:lncRNA from 1 species
UUACAGCCUAAGUGAGGCUGAAUGGCACAGCUACCCUGAUAACCGCUGUUACUGUUUUCAGUCUUUCACUUGCCAACAAGAUCCUCUGGUCCCUUAUCUUGUUCUGGGGCCAACCCAACAAGAGCGGGAGAAGCUGAAAUUCUGACACUUUAAAGCACAGGACAUUGUGAACACGCUGGAAGGAGGGAGAAAACUGAAGCUGAGAGGCUAAAGAAGAAUAUGAAGCAAGAUAAAAGAGCUUCCCUGGUGGCUCAAACGGAGAGUUUGAUGGAUGCACUUAUCUACCUGUGGUUGGAGGGGACAGUCGGGACUAUGACAGACACAACUGCCUUGGCGUAUAUCCAGAGAAAAUUCCAAUUUGAAAAGACACCCACACCUCAAAGUUCAUAGAAGAAUUAUUUAUUAACACAAUAGCCAAGACAUGGUAGCAACCUAUCUAUUCCUUGACAAAUGAAUGGAUGAAGAUGAUGUACACAUAGAUAUAUAUAAUGGAAUAUUACUCAGUCAUAAAAAAGAAUGAAAUAAGGCCAUUUGCAGCAACAUGGACGGACCUAGAGAUUAUCAUACUAAGUGAAGUAAGUCAGAGAAAGACAAAUAUCAUAUGACAUCCCUUAUAUGUGGAAUCUAAAACAGAAUGAUAUAAAUGAACUUAUUUACAAAAUCAGACCACCUUAC